GCCUGGGUGGCGAAAUUGGUAGACGCAGUUGAUUCAAAAUCAACCGCCUUCGGGUGUGUCGGUUCGAGUCCGACCCUAGGCACCA
rnacentral:tRNA from 5 species